rnacentral:rRNA from 1 species
GGGUUGUGAGGUUAAGCGACUAAGCGUACACGGUGGAUGCCCUGGCAGUCAGAGGCGAUGAAGGACGUGCUAAUCUGCGAAAAGCGUCGGUAAGGUGAUAUGAACCGUUAUAACCGGCGAUGUCCGAAUGGGGAAACCCAGUGCAAUUCGUUGCACUAUCGUUAACUGAAUACAUAGGUUAACGAGGCGAACCGGGGGAACUGAAACAUCUAAGUACCCCGAGGAAAAGAAAUCAACCGAGAUUCCCCCAGUAGCGGCGAGCGAACGGGGAGCAGCCCAGAGUCUGAAUCAGCUUGUGUGUUAGUGGAACGGUCUGGAAAGUCCGACGGUACAGGGUGAUAGUCCCGUACACCAAAAUGCACAGGCUGUGAACUCGAAGAGUAGGGCGGGACACGUGGUAUCCUGUCUGAAUAUGGGGGGACCAUCCUCCAAGGCUAAAUACUCCUGACUGACCGAUAGUGAACCAGUACCGUGAGGGAAAGGCGAAAAGAACCCCGGCGAGGGGAGUGAAAAAGAACCUGAAACCGUGUACGUACAAGCAGUGGGAGCACCUUCGGGUGUGACUGCGUACCUUUUGUAUAAUGGGUCAGCGACUUAUAUUCUGUAGCAAGGUUAACCGUAUAGGGGAGCCGCAGGGAAACCGAGUCUUAACUGGGCGUUAAGUUGCAGGGUAUAGACCCGAAACCCGGUGAUCUAGCCAUGGGCAGGUUGAAGGUUGGGUAACACUAACUGGAGGACCGAACCGACUAAUGUUGAAAAAUUAGCGGAUGACUUGUGGCUGGGGGUGAAAGGCCAAUCAAACCGGGAGAUAGCUGGUUCUCCCCGAAAGCUAUUUAGGUAGCGCCUCGUGAACUCAUCUUCGGGGGUAGAGCACUGUUUCGGCUAGGGGGUCAUCCCGACUUACCAACCCGAUGCAAACUACGAAUACCGAAGAAUGUUAUCACGGGAGACACACGGCGGGUGCUAACGUCCGUCGUGAAGAGGGAAACAACCCAGACCGCCAGCUAAGGUCCCAAAGUCAUGGUUAAGUGGGAAACGAUGUGGGAAGGCACAGACAGCCAGGAUGUUGGCUUAGAAGCAGCCAUCAUUUAAAGAAAGCGUAAUAGCUCACUGGUCGAGUCGGCCUGCGCGGAAGAUGUAACGGGGCUAAACCAUGCACCGAAGCUGCGGCAGCGACACUAUGUGUUGUUGGGUAGGGGAGCGUUCUGUAAGCCUGCGAAGGUGUGCUGUGAGGCAUGCUGGAGGUAUCAGAAGUGCGAAUGCUGACAUAAGUAACGAUAAAGCGGGUGAAAAGCCCGCUCGCCGGAAGACCAAGGGUUCCUGUCCAACGUUAAUCGGGGCAGGGUGAGUCGACCCCUAAGGCGAGGCCGAAAGGCGUAGUCGAUGGGAAACAGGUUAAUAUUCCUGUACUUGGUGUUACUGCGAAGGGGGGACGGAGAAGGCUAUGUUAGCCGGGCGACGGUUGUCCCGGUUUAAGCAUGUAGGCUGGUUGUCCAGGCAAAUCCGGAUAAUCAAGGCUGAGGUGUGAUGACGAGGCACUACGGUGCUGAAGUAACAAAUGCCCUGCUUCCAGGAAAAGCCUCUAAGCAUCAGGUAACAUCAAAUCGUACCCCAAACCGACACAGGUGGUCAGGUAGAGAAUACCAAGGCGCUUGAGAGAACUCGGGUGAAGGAACUAGGCAAAAUGGUGCCGUAACUUCGGGAGAAGGCACGCUGGUGUGUAGGUGAAGCCCCUGCGGGUGGAGCUGAGACCAGUCGAAGAUACCAGCUGGCUGCAACUGUUUAUUAAAAACACAGCACUGUGCAAACACGAAAGUGGACGUAUACGGUGUGACGCCUGCCCGGUGCCGGAAGGUUAAUUGAUGGGGUUAUCCGUAAGGAGAAGCUCUUGAUCGAAGCCCCGGUAAACGGCGGCCGUAACUAUAACGGUCCUAAGGUAGCGAAAUUCCUUGUCGGGUAAGUUCCGACCUGCACGAAUGGCGUAAUGAUGGCCAGGCUGUCUCCACCCGAGACUCAGUGAAAUUGAACUCGCUGUGAAGAUGCAGUGUACCCGCGGCAAGACGGAAAGACCCCGUGAACCUUUACUAUAGCUUGACACUGAACAUUGAGCCUUGAUGUGUAGGAUAGGUGGGAGGCUUUGAAGCGUGGACGCCAGUCUGCGUGGAGCCAACCUUGAAAUACCACCCUUUAAUGUUUGAUGUUCUAACGUUGGCCCCUUACCGGGGUUGCGGACAGUGUCUGGUGGGUAGUUUGACUGGGGCGGUCUCCUCCCAAAGCGUAACGGAGGAGCACGAAGGUUAGCUAAUCCUGGUCGGACAUCAGGAGGUUAGUGCAAUGGCAUAAGCUAGCUUGACUGCGAGCGUGACGGCGCGAGCAGGUGCGAAAGCAGGUCAUAGUGAUCCGGUGGUUCUGAAUGGAAGGGCCAUCGCUCAACGGAUAAAAGGUACUCCGGGGAUAACAGGCUGAUACCGCCCAAGAGUUCAUAUCGACGGCGGUGUUUGGCACCUCGAUGUCGGCUCAUCACAUCCUGGGGCUGAAGUAGGUCCCAAGGGUAUGGCUGUUCGCCAUUUAAAGUGGUACGCGAGCUGGGUUUAGAACGUCGUGAGACAGUUCGGUCCCUAUCUGCCGUGGGCGCUGGAGAAUUGAGGGGGGCUGCUCCUAGUACGAGAGGACCGGAGUGGACGCAUCACUGGUGUUCGGGUUGUCAUGCCAAUGGCACUGCCCGGUAGCUAAAUGCGGAAGAGAUAAGUGCUGAAAGCAUCUAAGCACGAAACUUGCCCCGAGAUGAGUUCUCCCUGAGACUAUAAGUCUCCUGAAGGAACGUUAAAGACGAUGACGUUGAUAGGCCGGGUGUGUAAGCGCAGCGAUGCGUUGAGCUAACCGGUACUAAUGAACCGUGAGGCUUAACCUUACAACGCCGAAG